rnacentral:rRNA from 1 species
AUGAACGCUAGCGACAGGCUUAACACAUGCAAGUCGAGGGGCAGCACAGGUAGCAAUACCGGGUGGCGACCGGCGCACGGGUGAGUAACGCGUAUGCAACUUGCCUAUCAGAGGGGGAUAACCCGGCGAAAGUCGGACUAAUACCGCAUGAAGCAGGGGCCCCGCAUGGGGAUAUUUGCUAAAGAUUCAUCGCUGAUAGAUAGGCAUGCGUUCCAUUAGGCAGUUGGCGGGGUAACGGCCCACCAAACCGACGAUGGAUAGGGGUUCUGAGAGGAAGGUCCCCCACAUUGGUACUGAGACACGGACCAAACUCCUACGGGAGGCAGCAGUGAGGAAUAUUGGUCAAUGGCCGAGAGGCUGAACCAGCCAAGUCGCGUGAGGGAUGAAGGUUCUAUGGAUCGUAAACCUCUUUUAUAAGGGAAUAAAGUGCGGGACGUGUCCCGUUUUGUAUGUACCUUAUGAAUAAGGAUCGGCUAACUCCGUGCCAGCAGCCGCGGUAAUACGGAGGAUCCGAGCGUUAUCCGGAUUUAUUGGGUUUAAAGGGUGCGUAGGCGGCCUUUUAAGUCAGCGGUGAAAGUCUGUGGCUCAACCAUAGAAUUGCCGUUGAAACUGGGGGGCUUGAGUAUGUUUGAGGCAGGCGGAAUGCGUGGUGUAGCGGUGAAAUGCAUAGAUAUCACGCAGAACCCCGAUUGCGAAGGCAGCCUGCCAAGCCAUUACUGACGCUGAUGCACGAAAGCGUGGGGAUCAAACAGGAUUAGAUACCCUGGUAGUCCACGCAGUAAACGAUGAUCACUAGCUGUUUGCGAUACACUGUAAGCGGCACAGCGAAAGCGUUAAGUGAUCCACCUGGGGAGUACGCCGGCAACGGUGAAACUCAAAGGAAUUGACGGGGGCCCGCACAAGCGGAGGAACAUGUGGUUUAAUUCGAUGAUACGCGAGGAACCUCACCCGGGUUUGAACGCAUUCGGACCGAGGUGGAAACACCUUUUCUAGCAAUAGCCGUUUGCGAGGUGCUGCAUGGUUGUCGUCAGCUCGUGCCGUGAGGUGUCGGCUUAAGUGCCAUAACGAGCGCAACCCUUGCCACUAGUUACUAACAGGUAAAGCUGAGGACUCUGGUGGGACUGCCAGCGUAAGCUGCGAGGAAGGCGGGGAUGACGUCAAAUCAGCACGGCCCUUACAUCCGGGGCGACACACGUGUUACAAUGGCGUGGACAAAGGGAAGCCACCUGGCGACAGGGAGCGAAUCCCCAAACCACGUCUCAGUUCGGAUCGGAGUCUGCAACCCGACUCCGUGAAGCUGGAUUCGCUAGUAAUCGCGCAUCAGCCAUGGCGCGGUGAAUACGUUCCCGGGCCUUGUACACACCGCCCGUCAAGCCAUGGGAGCCGGGGGUACCUGAAGUCCGUAACCGCGAGGAUCGGCCUAGGGUAAAACUGGUGACUGGGGCU